AGUUGGGCGACUCUAGGAGACUGCCGGUGGUUAAACCGGAGGAAGGUGGGGAUGACGUCAAGUCCUCAUGGCCCUUAUGUCCAGGGCUACACACGUGCUACAAUGGCCGGUACAAAGGGCAGCAAAGCCGCGAGGUGGAGCCAAUCCCAGAAAGCCGGUCUCAGUUCGGAUUGGAGUCUGCAACUCGACUCCAUGAAGUUGGAAUCGCUAGUAAUCGCGGAUCAGCAUGCCGCGGUGAAUACGUUCCCGGGCCUU
rnacentral:rRNA from 1 species